UUUCCACUAGCUCAAUUGGCAGAGCAGUUGACUUCGGAUCAACGGGUUGACGGUUCGAGUCCGUCGUGGGGUU
rnacentral:tRNA from 1 species